UGUACACUUAACAUGUUAAUCACUUUUAUUUAAUCAGGGGACCAAUGUUACAGUAAUCCCUGAUUGUCCUUAGGGAGAUUACAAAUGGAACACUACAUGUGCCAUCGAUAUCACACAUUUAACCCCUUAAGGACACAUGACACGUGUGAGAUGUCAUGAUUUCCCUUUAUUCCAGAAGUUUGGUCCUUAAGGGGUUAAACAGAUCAAGAAGUUGGAAUGUAUCCACUACACCUUUGAUAAG